GACGAACGCUGGCGGCGUGCCUAAUACAUGCAAGUAGAACGCUGAAGAGAGGAGCUUACUCUUCUUGGAUGAGUUGCGAACAGGUGAGUAACGCGUAGGUAACCUGCCUUGUAGCGGGGGAUAACUAUUGGAAACGAUAGCUAAUACCGCAUAACAAUGGAUGACACAUGUCAUUUAUUUGAAAGGGGCAAUUGCUCCACUACAAGAUGGACCUGCGUUGUAUUAGCUAGUAGGUGAGGUAAUGGCUCACCUAGGCGACGAUACAUAGCCGACCUGAGAGGGUGAUCGGCCACACUGGGACUGAGACACGGCCCAGACUCCUACGGGAGGCAGCAGUAGGGAAUCUUCGGCAAUGGGGGCAACCCUGACCGAGCAACGCCGCGUGAGUGAAGAAGGUUUUCGGAUCGUAAAGCUCUGUUGUAAGUCAAGAACGGGUGUGAGAGUGGAAAGUUCACACUGUGACGGUAGCUUACCAGAAAGGGACGGCUAACUACGUG
rnacentral:rRNA from 1 species